UCUCUCUCUCUCUCUCUCUCUCUCUCUCUCUCUCUCUCUACGCGUCCCCUCUCUCUACCCUCUUUAAAAUUCUAAAAUUGUAUGGAAUGUUGGGUUUAUGUGGCCUUAUGAGAGCUUAUAUGAGCAUUGUAUAUAGUGAAACAUAAACUCAGUGGGAGUGUGGUCUUCUUAUAGACCAUACUAGGCAAAUGCAAUUUACCGAUACUGGGAUUAGGCUUGACAUGCUAGGCCAGCCGAGUUAAAAAACCUAAGUUACCUGGGCAUAGAGAUGUAGUCGAGGAGGGUUUAGUGGGUUAGCCCUUGAUAAGGUCGGAGUAUGCCCGGAUGAAAGCUAAUGGAUUGUGUGACCCUUAUGUAUGAUGAAUAGUCUAUAGAGACAAGACUAAAACCUCAUCGUUGUAUCAUCACACGAAAUGUAAAUAAAUAGCCAUAUUGAUAAAGUAAUCCACCAUUGAGGGUGAAGUAUGUACAUGUGCGAGAGAAUACCCCUAUGCACCAUAGUGUCAUAAUUGCAUCAUGGUAUGGCAGAUCAUGGUUUGUCUCUAGGGGAGAAUCUGAAAUCUACAGAUUGUGAUUUUCUCCCCUAGUCAAUUGAUUGACUUUGGCGAUCCAAUCAUAAACCCCUGCAAUGGACUGUAAAUCAUGGGAACUGCUAGGUUAGUUUGAGAAAAAGCUAGUGUGGAUCGUAGUCAACAGUUGAACGUAGAGUGCUCCUAUGCGUUGAUUAAAUCCUAAACCUAUUUGGAUUCGACUCCUAUCAAAAUUAAUUUAAUUUAAUUAAUUUUAUGUUAUUUGAUUUUUAGAUUGCUUAUUUAAUUUUUAUGAAUUUUUUGAUAUUUUAAUUUUGUCAUUUGGAUUUAUAAAUCAAGAGAAAUUCAUUUAUAAAGUUUUAAAUGAACUAAGAGGUUUGAAAAUUUUGAAAAUCAAUUUUUUUAUUGUUUAUAAAAUAUGUGGGAUUCCAUAAUUAUUGGAAGCCCAUUAAAAUCUCAUGAGAUAAUUGGGUGGGGCCCAUGAGUGGCCAUCAAAGGGUGGCACGCCCCACCUAUAGGGGAUUGCCUUUUCUUGCUAAAUAUGGCGAGAGGCAUCCCAUCCUAGUUGGCUUUCCAUUUUGGAGAGAAGCCUACUUGCAUUAAGGAAUGAUAAUAUUGAGUUUUAGAAUAUCUUGUUAAUCAAGAAAGUUUUAUUUGAAAAGUAAGGAAUAAAUAUUUACUAAUAAAAAAAUAAAAAGAUAAUUUCCUUAUUUAACUUAUUUGAUGGGAAUAGGUUUAUGAAGGGGAGGAUAUGAUUCUAGCACCUUCCUUAGCAUCUUGAUGGUGGAUCUAUAGAAUUGAUGGCUCACAUCUCUCAUCCCACAAAUCUCACUAAAUCGACGGUUAAGAUCUGCUCCUACGAUUUUAUGGCAAACCGUAAUGCAUUAAAAAUCUAUAAACGAGAUCAUUCUCCAUUGUCUCUACAGUUCUUACUUAUUCUCACUUCCCUCUCUAAAAUAUUCUCUUUCUCUCAAACCUCUCUAAGGGGCAUGUCCCACAUAAGUUGUCUCUCUCUCACUCCAAGAAACCUAAGGGAAAACGCCCCACCCUAGCCUACCUCUCUUUCUCUCUCUCUCUCUCUCAAACUAUCCUAAGGGGGCACACCCCAACCUAGCAAGUCUCUCUCUCUUUAUUGUUGGUUCUAAGGAAACACGCCCAAGCUAGUCUAGGUCAGUUUGAAUCUCUCUCUCAUGGGUUCUAAAUCAAGCUAAUUUCGUUAUAACAUUUUGUGGGUAGCAAAGGGAUCAUCCCUAGUUGGUAGUUUUCUUUCUCAUUUCUAGAUUUCUAGAUCUUAUAAGGAUCAAGCCAAGGGGGUUAAAUUAGGUCUAAGCAUUGAGGCUUUAGAUAGGUGGCUCUAGAUCGAGUUCCAUGUGCAUUGAUUAGGUUUUGCCAUAAAAAUGAGAAAUCAAGAGACCGAUCAAAGAUCCCGAGUACCAUCGAAAAGAGGAGACUCGACGUGGGGUGUACUAAGCCCGAUUGAAAUAAUCUCCAGCACCCUCUUUUGCUUAUUUCAUAUUUAUUUAUUGUGUAUUUUAUUCUCAAGCAUAGAUUGUGUCUUUUUCUUUGUUAUUAAAAGAAAGGUUUUGAAUGGCUUCAAGUUCUUAAGAUCCUAAUGUAUUAUUUUAUUUGAAGUUAUUAUAUUGUAAAAAGACUACUUGUAAGUGAUCUAGACCAUGAAGAAAAGAAAAAGAAAGAAAAAAAUUGCUAUAUACUCCAGCUAGAUCACAUAUAUCCUUCUUUUAUAGAAUGACUAGCUCACGGCCCCACACACCUCUUCUACAUUAUAAUUUAAUAUUCAAAGAUAUUCAAACCUAGAAAGUUCUAACUUCAAUACGAAAUUCGCAUCAAUUUUACUCAUACGAAGAGUAACCUGUGAAGAGUUCCCAUCAAUAAUACCCAUGAGAAGUACCAAUAAUUAGCAUAUAAACAUUGAGAAAAUCUAGUAUACUUAAAAACUUCAAAACUAUAAAAAUAAAACCUAAAACUUAAAUUAAAAUACGCAUCCUUUGAAAUUAAAAAAAAAUUAAAAAUAACAAUAAUUUGAUCCUGGAUCAUUCUCCUCUUAUUAGAGAAAACUCAUCCUAAAGUUCAAACGUAGGCUAAGAUGAAUUCCACAUCAGUUCCAUAAUCUUCUUCAACCCAUAUAUUAUGCUUUGAAUUCUUAGACUUGUUGUUUACUGGGGAAAUCAAAAUACAACAAUUAUACAUUGAUGUUGGAUCUUUGAAAUCAAUUGACAUAUUUAUAAAUACUUUAGAAAAAUCGUCAAGGAAAUGAUCAUUGUAUGUUGAAGAUGCACCUUACCACUACAGCUAUGGAUUUUAUAAAUACUUGAUUUUAAAAUGGUUAAAAUCAAGUAUGGUUACCUCAAAAAUGGUUAAAAUCAAGUAUUUAUAAAUUUAUAAAAUCAUUAUAAAUUUUAUAAUUAAAAUCAAGUAUUUAUUACAUCUAAUUAUAAAUUUUUUAAUUUAAAAAUGGUUAAAAUCAAGUAGAUCUAUAAACAUAUGAAAAUAUUGACUAUGGACGGUGUAGAUAGUAUGUUGUAAAAUGCACUAUUUCUAAGACUUAAAAUCUUUUUAUUUUUCAUGGUCAUACAUCUCGAUGUUGAGAUGAUCAAUCAAAGGGUUU
rnacentral:lncRNA from 1 species